UUUGCUUUAUAGCCCAGGAGGAUGAGAACCUCCGGGGGUAAGAGGUUCGACUCGAGCGUAGCGAGAGAACGUUGC
rnacentral:sRNA from 1 species